rnacentral:antisense_RNA from 1 species
UGCCGACAGCGUUCCUGCGUCAGGGUCAGGCAAAUCAGGCCACGGCCAUGGGUUGCCAUAAAAUUAAUAUCUUCCGGCCGCACCCGGGAAGCCGCCAUGAUCA